rnacentral:rRNA from 1 species
CAGUCGAACGGUAGCACAGGGGAGCUUGCUCCCUGGGUGACGAGUGGCGGACGGGUGAGUAAUGUCUGGGGAUCUGCCCGAUGGAGGGGGAUAACUACUGGAAACGGUAGCUAAUACCGCAUAACGUCGCAAGACCAAAGUGGGGGACCUUCGGGCCUCACACCAUCGGAUGAACCCAGAUGGGAUUAGCUAGUAGGUGGGGUAACGGCUCACCUAGGCGACGAUCCCUAGCUGGUCUGAGAGGAUGACCAGCCACACUGGAACUGAGACACGGUCCAGACUCCUACGGGAGGCAGCAGUGGGGAAUAUUGCACAAUGGGCGCAAGCCUGAUGCAGCCAUGCCGCGUGUAUGAAGAAGGCCUUCGGGUUGUAAAGUACUUUCAGCGGGGAGGAAGGGAUGAGGGUUAAUAACCUUCGUCAUUGACGUUACCCGCAGAAGAAGCACCGGCUAACUCCGUGCCAGCAGCCGCGGUAAUACGGAGGGUGCAAGCGUUAAUCGGAAUUACUGGGCGUAAAGCGCACGCAGGCGGUUUGUUAAGUCAGAUGUGAAAUCCCCGGGCUCAACCUGGGAACUGCAUUUGAAACUGGCAAGCUUGAGUCUCGUAGAGGGGGGUAGAAUUCCAGGUGUAGCGGUGAAAUGCGUAGAGAUCUGGAGGAAUACCGGUGGCGAAGGCGGCCCCCUGGACGAAGACUGACGCUCAGGUGCGAAAGCGUGGGGAGCAAACAGGAUUAGAUACCCUGGUAGUCCACGCCGUAAACGAUGUCGACUUGGAGGUUGUGCCCUUGAGGCGUGGCUUCCGGAGCUAACGCGUUAAGUCGACCGCCUGGGGAGUACGGCCGCAAGGUUAAAACUCAAAUGAAUUGACGGGGGCCCGCACAAGCGGUGGAGCAUGUGGUUUAAUUCGAUGCAACGCGAAGAACCUUACCUGGCCUUGACAUCCACGGAAUUCGGCAGAGAUGCCUUAGUGCCUUCGGGAACCGUGAGACAGGUGCUGCAUGGCUGUCGUCAGCUCGUGUUGUGAAAUGUUGGGUUAAGUCCCGCAACGAGCGCAACCCUUAUCCUUUGUUGCCAGCGAGUAAUGUCGGGAACUCAAAGGAGACUGCCGGUGAUAAACCGGAGGAAGGUGGGGAUGACGUCAAGUCAUCAUGGCCCUUACGGCCAGGGCUACACACGUGCUACAAUGGCGCAUACAAAGAGAAGCGACCUCGCGAGAGCAAGCGGACCUCAUAAAGUGCGUCGUAGUCCGGAUCGGAGUCUGCAACUCGACUCCGUGAAGUCGGAAUCGCUAGUAAUCGUAGAUCAGAAUGCUACGGUGAAUACGUUCCCGGGCCUUGUACACACCGCCCGUCACACCAUGGGAGUGGGUUGCAAAAGAAGUAGGUAGC